rnacentral:rRNA from 1 species
UGAGGAAUAUUGGUCAAUGGGCGAGAGCCUGAACCAGCCAAAUCGCGUGAAGGAAGACUGCCUUAUGGGUUGUAAACUUCUUUUAUACAGGAAUAAAAAAGGGGACGUGUCCCUUAUUGCAUGUACUGUAUGAAUAAGCAUCGGCUAACUCCGUGCCAGCAGCCGCGGUAAUACGGAGGAUGCGAGCGUUAUCCGGAUUUAUUGGGUUUAAAGGGUGCGCAGGCGGGCUUUUAAGUCAGCGGUGAAAUCUCGGGGCUUAACUCCGAAACUGCCGUUGAAACUGGGAGUCUUGAGUAUGGAUGAAGUAGGCGGAAUUCGUUGUGUAGCGGUGACAUGCUUAGAUAUAACGAGGAACUCCGAUUGCGUAGGCAGCUUACUAAGCCAUAACUGACGCUCAAGCACGAAAGCGUGGGGAUCAAACAGGAUUAGAUACCCUGGUAGUCCACGCCGUAAACGAUGAUUACUAGUUGUAUGCGAUAUACCGUAUGUGACUAAGCGAAAAGCGAUAAGU